CUCCGGUUGAUCCUGCCGGACCCGACUGCUAUCAGAGUGGGACUAAGCCAUGCGAGUCAACAUAGCAAUAUGUGGCAUACGGCUCAGUAACACGUAGUCAACAUGCCCAGGGGACGUGGAUAACCUCGGGAAACUGAGGAUAAACCGCGAUAAGUCACUACUUCUGGAAUGGGUAAUGACUCAAAUCUACAUGGCCCCUGGAUUGGACUGCGGCCGAUCAGGCUGUUGGUGAGGUAAUGGCCCACCAAACCUGUAACCGGUACGGGCUCUGAGAGGAGGAGCCCGGAGAUGGGCACUGAGACAAGGGCCCAGGCCCUAUGGGGCGCAGCAGGCGCGAAACCUCUGCAAUAGGCGAAAGCCUGACAGGGUUACUCUGAGUGAUUUCCGUUAAGGAGAUCUUUUGGCACCUCUAAAAAUGGUGCAGAAUAAGGGGUGGGCAAGUCUGGUGUCAGCCGCCGCGGUAAUACCAGCACCCCGAGUGGUCGGGACGUUUAUUGGGCCUAAAGCAUCCGUAGCCGGUUCUACAAGUCUUCCGUUAAAUCCACCUGCUUAACAGAUGGGCUGCGGAAGAUACUAUAGAGCUAGGAGGCGGGAGAGGCAAGCGGUACUCGAUGGGUAGGGGUAAAAUCCGUUGAUCCAUUGAAGACCACCAGUGGCGAAGGCGGCUUGCCAGAACGCGCUCGACGGUGAGGGAUGAAAGCUGGGGGAGCAAACCGGAUUAGAUACCCGGGUAGUCCCAGCUGUAAACGAUGCAGACUCGGUGAUGAGUUGGCUUCUUGCCAACUCAGUGCCGCAGGGAAGCCGUUAAGUUUGCCGCCUGGGGAGUACGGUCGCAAGACUGAAACUUAAAGGAAUUGGGCGGGGAGCA
rnacentral:rRNA from 1 species